ACCACUUUGUGAUUCAUGACUGGGGUGAAGUCGUAACAAGGUAACCGUAGGGGACCCUGCGGUUGGAUCACCUCCUUACCUUAAAGAA
rnacentral:rRNA from 1 species